GUGCCUUUAUAAGAAAGAGAAGUUGGAUCCAGGUGAACCGUCAGUUUGUGACGUCCCUCCAAGAAUCUUGAGAAUCUUCCUCUCCUCUUUGGUGAUCGUCAUGAAAUUCUGGGUCCUCCUUUUGGUUGUUUGGGUUGCUUUUGCCAUGGUGUCCGCACGACCAUAUGAAGGUGAAGAAGGAACCGAUCCUAUAUCUGCAGAGCAUGAUCCUCUCCAAGACUCUGUGAAUCAAGACCGUCUUCUUGGCGGUCUCUUAGGACUUUUUGGAGGCUAGUAUGAUCUGGAUG